GUUGAAUUUCUUUGAUUUCUGAUGUUUUAGGAUCCAAUUAGCUUGAGAAAAACGUUCACUCUUACUUAUGUGAAGCUUGGGUAAGGUUGUGAAUAAAUAAUUGGAGCUUGAAAUUGUGAAUACUGGAACUUGGAGGAAGCGGAUUAGUUGAGUUUUGAGGGGUUGCCUUGGUUCUGAAUAAAUAGCUUUGGUCGUUACGUGGAAAUCAGCCAAGGUAUGGUUUAGGUUUCUUGCAUUUAAUAUAUAAUGUUCUGUGAAAACUUAGGCUAGAUGACCAUAGGAUAAGUUGGAAUGCAGGUGUAUGUUUAAUGUUUAGUAAUUUGUCGAUGAAUAUAUUUGGUUGAAGUUUAUUGGAUAAUUAGUUAUUAAUUUUGGAUGGUGAAUGUUGUUAUGUUAAUUUGGAGAGAAUUAUGAUUGAAUGUUAUUGUUGAUGAACAUGGUUGGUUUGGUGCUUGUUGAUUAACUAAUGAUUUGGUGAAUUAUUGAUUUGAGGUAUAACUAUUGUGGAGGUUGUUGUGAUAAUGAGGUAUUUUGUGUUAGAAGCCUAGGAUUAGUGAACUAUGAUCCUUAGUUGAAUUUUGGUUGUUGGAUUUGAAUAUUGUAUGAGUAUAAUUGUUGAUCUAAGGUAGAUUUAUUGUGGUGAUUGUUAUGAUGAUGAG